UGCCGUUUAAAGUAUCGCGCGUGUGAAUCUACCUGAGAGGAGGAGGAGGCCUAGGAGAGGCAUCGGGCACCGGUGGAGCAACUCUGUGAUCAACGUAGCGACCCUGACAUCCUGAGAGGAGGAGGAGGCCUAGGAGAGGCAUCCUGCACCGGCGGAGCAACCCAAGGACAACGUAGCCUCAAGACCAAAUCUCCGCUGUUGCGCAUCAGUGCCGGUGAGUGAGAAAUUUUUAUUUAAUUUUAAAGUAACGGAUUUGUAGAAAUUGUAG